AAAAAUGUUCCCUCAUUUCAAAUUCUCGUAAAUUCCGUAAAUUUCCUCUGAUUUUGACACGGUUUUCAACAAACGGAAGCGCCAUGUUUACACUUUCAUCUGGGUAUCCAUCAAAGAAAGAUAACUCAUGUUUGCACUGUUUUGAGCGGGAAAUAUAAAAGAGGUAUUCCGAUCCCGGUAAAACGGGACUCAUCGUCAGCUGUCUGAAGCGUGAAUCCCGGUAAACCGGGACUCAUCGGCG
rnacentral:lncRNA from 1 species